ensembl:snoRNA
AACCUCCAGUUCCCUUUCUCAUCGGAUCACAACACUGGUCUGGGAGGUCAUAAAAGGAAGAAAAUAAACAUUAAAGUUGCCCCUCAGUGCUAUUGGAACUCAGGCUAGUUUCAAACAGGC